AGUGAACGCUGGCGGUAGGCCUAACACAUGCAAGUCGAACGGCAGCACAGUAAGAGCUUGCUCUUACGGGUGGCGAGUGGCGGACGGGUGAGGAAUACAUCGGAAUCUACUUUUUCGUGGGGGAUAACGUAGGGAAACUUACGCUAAUACCGCAUACGACCUACGGGUGAAAGCAGGGGAUCUUCGGACCUUGCGCGAUUGAAUGAGCCGAUGUCGGAUUAGCUAGUUGGCGGGGUAAGGCCCACCAAGGCGACGAUCCGUAGCUGGUCUGAGAGGAUGAUCAGCCACACUGGAACUGAGACACGGUCCAGACUCCUACGGGAGGCAGCAGUGGGGAAUAUUGGACAAUGGGCGCAAGCCUGAUCCAGCCAUACCGCGUGGGUGAAGAAGGCCUUCGGGUUGUAAAGCCCUUUUGUUGGGAAAGAAAAGCAGCAGGUUAAUACCCUGCUGUUCUGACGGUACCCAAAGAAUAAGCACCGGCUAACUUCGUG
rnacentral:rRNA from 1 species